UACAGAGGGGGCGAGCGUUGUUCGGAAUUACUGGGCGUAAAGGGCGCGUAGGCGGCCAACUAAGUCAGACGUGAAAUCCCUCGGCUUAACCGGGGAACUGCGUCUGAUACUGGAUGGCUUGAGUUUGGGAGAGGGAUGCGGAAUUCCAGGUGUAGCGGUGAAAUGCGUAGAUAUCAGGAGGAACACCGGUGGCGAAGGCGGGUCUCUGGGCAAUAACUGACGCUGAGGAGCGAAAGCGUGGGGAGCGAACAGG
rnacentral:rRNA from 1 species